rnacentral:tRNA from 1 species
AGCCUUGUGGUGUAAAAGCACGUGAAAUUGCAAAUUUCAAAGAGAAAAUUAAGUUUCUCCGGGGCUU